CAGCAGCCACGGGAAUACGUAGGGUGCGAGCGUUAAUCGGAAUUACUGGGUGUAAGGCGUGCGCAGGCGGUUGUGUAAGACAGGUGUGAAAUCCCCGGGCUUAACCUGGGAACUGCAUUUGUGACUGGCGAGCUAGAGUAUGGCAGAGGGGGGUAGAAUUCCAUGUGUAGCAGUGAAAUGCGUAGAGAUGUGGAGGAAUACCGAUGGCGAAGGCAGCCCCCUGGGCCAAUACUGACGCUCAUGCACGAAAGCGUGGGGAGCAAACAGGAUUAGAUACCCGCGUAGUCCCUGUCUCUUAUAC
rnacentral:rRNA from 1 species